GUGAGUCAUCGAAUCUUUGAACGCACAUUGCGCCCAUUGGUAUUCCGAUGGGCAUGCCUGUUCGAGCGUCAUUAUCAACCCUCAAGCCCCCGGCUUGGUGUUGGAGUCCUGGCUGGGCAGCUGCCCGGCCACUCCUAAAGACAAUGACGGCGGCGACGAUGGCCCCCGGUACACUGAGCUUUUCACCGAGCACGUACUGGAAGGACCUCGUGGUCACGGUCUGCCUCCCCUUCAAGGGAGAAAACCCCCGGUUUUAUUACCAAGGUUGACCUCGGAUCAGGUAGGGAUACCCGCUGAACUUAAGCAUAUCAAUAAGCGGAGGA
rnacentral:misc_RNA from 1 species